rnacentral:lncRNA from 1 species
GAAGUGAGCAUCUAUCUACAACUAAUGUGAUGGAACAUGCUCCAGGCAAGUGAGCUCAUCUGUGGGAACCAAACCCCACAUCUGGACAAGAAAAACUAUCACUCGACACUCAUCAGUCAUAUCCUAAAGCUGGACAGAGAAAUGGGUUUAAACUGAAUGGGAAACGUGAAGUCAAGAAAACCCUUUAAAUUGUGACUGUGAGAACACAACAACAUGGCCAUGCUCAACAGGACAGUGUAAAACACUGGGAGACCGUGUCCUUAAGUCCUAAAACAAAGGAGUUGUAUCUACUUUGCACACCAUUUUGCCUUUUAACAUAAUGAAGAUUUCCAAGUAGCUUAAACCAUGACUCUUAGCUUUUUUGUUAAGUAAAGUGCCUAUUUUUUAAACAAUUUAAAAAAUUGAUUUUAUUUAUUUAUUUACUGUUUGUUUUUGGAGACAGGUUUCUUUAUUAUGUAGUUCUGGCUGUUAUGGAACUUGCUAUGUAGACAUGCCUGUCCCUGCCUCCCAAGUGCUGAGAUUAAAGGUGUAUACCACC